AUCAAGUCAAAACAACUUAGGUGGAGAAUCAAAGGGUGCCCACGCAGCUGAAAGCUGCUUCUGAUUUCCUGGCACUGUGGGUCUUAAAACAGCCCUUCAGCUACUGAGCACAGCUUUGUAAAGCUGCUCUGUAUGCAGCCAAUCAUGUGAUGUCACACCCGUCUAGCCAUGGAAGUCCAGAAGAUCAAGGCUAGAGGAAGAAUGCUUCCUAAGGGCAUCAGUAGCAUAAGUAGUCUGUUCCUUAUGUUGCAGUUGGUGGAACACAAACUCCUUGGAGUCCAGGGGAGGACCUUCCUUUGAGGCAAAUAGCAGUCUUGGAAAACAACAUACUUGAAGCAGUUGAAGCUGUUUCAUGAGCCUUUUCCUGCAGAUCUUGCUGGGAUGUUAGAGACUGAAGAUCCAGAGUGAGCCUUGACAGUGUUGUGACAUCUAGCGUAUGGAGAAAUGGGAACAUCUCUGUCAAGAUCUUUGCUCUCUGAUUAAUGAGAAAGCAUUCAUUACAGGCUCAGAAACAUCCAGCAUCUCCACGUCCUGGCAUUUGAGCCACACAGCACUGUUGACUGUCAAUGCUGGAACCUCCGAGGCCCCCUAGGAGGAAGCCAUGUUACCCUGGAGUGCCAUUAAAAGGUCAACCAUUGCCUCAGACUCUGCAGUGUACACCCUGACCUGGAAGCACCAUUGAUAAUGACCCCACAGCUGCAGGACUUGAAGACUUAAUCAUCUGACAUACAAGCAGCCCGGGGGCAUCCAUAG
rnacentral:lncRNA from 1 species